UACGGAGGGUGCGAGCGUUGUCCGGAAUCACUGGGCGUAAAGGGCGCGUAGGCGGCCCCGGCAGUCGGUGGUGAAAGCCCGUGGCUCAACUGCGGGUCGGCCACCGAUACUCCAGGGCUCGAGUUUGGUAGAGGCAGAUGGAAUUCCGGGUGUAGCGGUGGAAUGCGUAGAGAUCCGGAAGAACACCGGUGGCGAAGGCGGUCUGCUGGGCCAAGACUGACGCUGAGGCGCGACAGCGUGGGGGAGCAAACAGG
rnacentral:rRNA from 1 species